GUCCAGGUGAUAAGACAGUUGCGCAAGCAGGGUAUUAUAAGCAACACAUUUUGUUGAACUUCUUCGUCGACGCGUCGAUGACCCACAUACAUACUCAAGUGAAUCUGUAUUGGAACCCCCCAAAAAAAAAAAACAUAUAUUUAUUUGUUUGUAUGUGAUUUAAGAUGACGCCGGCCCCGAAAGCCGCCGCAAUAAUGCCAUAGCCAAAAGGCACAAAAAGAAAAAAUAAGCGAAUCAGUUGACUUUGUUUAUUGAAAAUAUGAAAAACAACCAACGUGAUGCAAAAAUAAACAAAAUAGAAUAUAUCUAACGUAAACAAAAGUCGCAAUUUCAUAGACCUUCAUAAGUCAGCAGCUCGUCGUAAUCGCAGAUGCAGAUCUCAAUCUUGGACUUGGAAAGUAUUUGCAACCU